rnacentral:rRNA from 1 species
UACGUAGUGUGCAAGCGUUAAUCGGAAUUACUGGGCGUAAAGCGUGCGCAGGCGGUGAUGUAAGACAGAUGUGAAAUCCCCGGGCUCAACCUGGGAACUGCAUUUGUGACUGCAUCGCUGGAGUGCGGCAGAGGGGGAUGGAAUUCCGCGUGUAGCAGUGAAAUGCGUAGAUAUGCGGAGGAACACCGAUGGCGAAGGCAAUCCCCUGGGCCUGCACUGACGCUCAUGCACGAAAGCGUGGGGAGCAAACAGG